CUAAACUUAUCAAUUCGUGAUAUUUAAUUAGUUUAAAUUGUAAUCAUUUGACAUUAGUUUGUCAUAAUAAGUUCAAUAUGCAUUUUUGUACAUCCCUCUCUCUAUUAAAUAUUUUCUAUUAUAACGCAUUCAUUAUUUAGUAGGUUACAUCAUGUGAUCAAAAUAGUCCUAGUCCAGAUCUAUAAAAUAAGUUCAAACUGUUGCUAUCCAUCUUAGAAUUCAAAAUGCUGGUCCCAGAUUUGACUUCCUUGUUCAAGAAAGGGAUUAAGAAAAGGGAAUACGAGGAACUCACUGAGCUUGACACUCUUGAAAAGAACUGUUCCAAUCCGGGAAGAGCCCAGCGUGAUAAGGACUCAGCGAAGAGUCAUCGAAGGAAGUUUUUAAGAAAUUUUAUCAUAUUUUCGGAUCCAAUAAUGACUCUGGGACAUCAUGGUUUUUAAUAUCUCCCUACAUAAACUUUUAUUGAUGAAUAGUUUUUAUUUUAUUUUAUCUUUGUUUAAAUAUUAAUUAUUUUAUAGUAUGACUGUCAAAUAUUAUUUAAUAUGUUGCUUUUA
rnacentral:lncRNA from 1 species